rnacentral:rRNA from 1 species
GGCUCAGAUUGAACGCUGGCGGCAGGCCUAACACAUGCAAGUCGAGCGGCAGCGGGAAAGUAGCUUGCUACUUUUGCCGGCGAGCGGCGGACGGGUGAGUAAUGCCUGGGGAUCUGCCCAGUCGAGGGGGAUAACAGUUGGAAACGACUGCUAAUACCGCAUACGCCCUACGGGGGAAAGGAGGGGACCUUCGGGCCUUUCGCGAUUGGAUGAACCCAGGUGGGAUUAGCUAGUUGGUGGGGUAAUGGCUCACCAAGGCGACGAUCCCUAGCUGGUUUGAGAGGAUGAUCAGCCACACUGGAACUGAGACACGGUCCAGACUCCUACGGGAGGCAGCAGUGGGGAAUAUUGCACAAUGGGGGAAACCCUGAUGCAGCCAUGCCGCGUGUGUGAAGAAGGCCUUCGGGUUGUAAAGCACUUUCAGCGAGGAGGAAAGGUUGGCGCCUAAUACGUGUCAAC